CCUACGGGAGGCAGCAGUGGGGAAUAUUGGGCAAUGGACGAAAGUCUGACCCAGCGACGCCGCGUGCGGGAUGAAGGCCUUCGGGUUGUAAACCGCUUUCAGCAGGGAAUAAGCGCAAGUGAAGGUACCUGCAGAAGAAGCACCGGCUAACUAUGUGCCAGCAGCCGCGGUAAUACGUAGGGUGCAAGCGUUGUCCGGAAUUAUUGGGCGUAAAGAGCUCGUAGGUGGUUUGUUACGUCGGUUGUGAAAUUCAGGGGCUCAACCCCUGACUUGCAGCCGAUACGGGCAAGCUAGAGUUUGGUAGGGGAGACUGGAAUUCCUGGUGUAGCGGUGGAAUGCGCAGAUAUCAGGAGGAACACCGAUGGCGAAGGCAGGUCUCUGGGCCAAUACAGACACUGAGGAGCGAAAGCGUGGGGAGCGAACAGGAUUAGAUACCCUGGUAGUCCACGCCGUAAACGGUGGGCGCUAGUUGUGCGAACCCUCCACGGUUUGUGCGACGCAGCUAACGCAUUAAGCGCCCCGCCUGGGGAGUACGAUCGCAAGAUUAAAACUCAAAGGAAUUGACGG
rnacentral:rRNA from 1 species